UAGAAACACCUAGAAAUGGUUAGGAUGGUAAAUUUUACAUUAUGUAUUUUUUACCACAAUACAAAAAUUUGCUUUAAAAGUAUUAUUACAUAAAUAAUACCUGAUAAUUAUGGAAACAUCAGUAAAUACAGACAAGCAAAAAGGAAAAUAAAAUCACUGACAAUCCUAACUGCUGAGUUUUCUUAUUGCAUAAAUACAUAAAUGCACAAAUUAUGUGUAGGUUCAUAUUUGGAUUUGCUGCUUAAUAACCUGACUUUUUCAAAGUUUACACUAUUUUUAACCAUGUUUUAAGUUCUAUAUUCUUAAUUGAAAAUGAGAAGUAGGAUGUUUCACAUUUCUGUAAACUCUAAGGCCUCAAGACAGAAGUGCAGUGGCACGUUUUAGGGGUACAUGCCCCUCCAUUGAUGCUUCUCUGUUUAGGUCAUGUGUCCUCAGGAGAAAGAAAGGCUCCCCCACUCCUGAUUUGUCAGCCAGCUGUACUGACAUCUUUCAGUGGUUCCUUUUAAGUAUGAACCCAUCUACAGAGGCUUCUGGUACUUUGGGAACUGGUGUGUCUACCUGUCCCUGGGGCUCUUCAGUCACAUGUCUAUCCAGUGGGGUAAUGUAAAUAUGUGUCUCAGCAAGGUUAACGAUUAAAUUGUUGGGAUGAAAGGUCGAAGGCCUGCCUUUGGAACAUCAGAACAUCAGAAUGGGAGAUAUAUGUUUCUACUUGCCUUCCACCUUCUCUGAGGAAAAGAGUAAAUAAGAAACACAGUCAUACAAGAGUCUUCAUUCCAGAAGUGAUCUAGGAAUCAUGCUGGAGAAGUUCUGCAACUCUACUUUUUGGAAUUCCUCAUUCCUGGAUAGCCCGGAGGUGGACCUGCCACUUUGUUUUGAGCAAACUGUUCUGGUGUGGAUUCCCUUGGGCUUCCUUUGGCUCCUGGCCCCUUGGCAGUUUCUCUAUGUGUAUAGAUCCAGGACCAAGAAAUCUUCUAUAACCAAACUCUACCUUACUAAGCAGGUGCUUGUUGGGUUUCUUCUUAUUCUGGCAGUCAUAGAUCUGGCCCUUGCACUCACAGAAGACACUGGACAAGCCACAGUCCCUGCCGUUAGAUAUACCAGUCCAAGCCUCUACCUGGGCACAUGGAUCCUGGUUUUGCUGAUCCAACACAGCAGGCGAUGGUGUGUACAGAAGGACUCUUGGUUCCUGUCCGUGUUCUGGAUUCUCUCAAUACUCUGUGGCACUUUCCAGUUUCAGACUCUGAUCCGGACACUCUUAAGGGGCAGCAACCCUAACCUGGCCUAUUCCUGCGUGUUCCUCAUCUGCUAUGCACUCCAGAUCCUGGUCCUGAUCCUUUCAGCAUUUUCAGAAAAAAAUGACUCAUCAAAACAUCCUUCAACCACAGCUUCAUUUCUGAGUAGCAUCACCUUUAGUUGGUAUGACAGCAUUGUUCUGAAAGGCUUCAAGAAACCUCUGACGCUUGAAGAUAUCUGGGAUAUUGAUGAAGAGACUAAAACAAAGACACUAGUCAGCAGGUUUGAAAAGUACAUGGCAGGAGAGCUGCAGAAGGCCCGGCAGGCAUUCCAGAAACGGCAGCAGAAGAACUCCCAGUGGAACCCUGGAGCCAGGCUGCAUGGUUUGGACAAGAAGCAGAGUCAAAGCCAAGAUGUCCUUGUCCUGGAAGAAACUAAAAAGAAUAAAAAGAAGUCUGAGACCACUAAAGACUUCCCCAAGUCCUGGCUGGUGAAAGCCCUCUUCAGAACUUUCUACGUCAUCCUCCUGAAGUCAUUCCUGCUGAAGCUGGUGUAUGACAUCCUCAUGUUCCUGAAUCCUCAGCUGCUGAAAUUGCUGAUCUCCUUUGCAAAUGACCAUGACAUAUAUCUGUGGACUGGGUAUCUCUACUCAAUCCUCUUCUUCGUCGUGGCCCUCAUCCAGUCUGUCUGCCUUCAGUAUUACUUUAAACUGUGCUUUAUGCUGGGCAUGAAAGUACGGACCACCAUCAUGGCUUCUGUAUAUAAGAAGGCGCUGACUCUAUCCAACCAGGCCAGGAAGCAGUACACCAUUGGAGAAACAGUGAACCUGAUGUCUGUGGAUGCCCAGAAGCUCAUGGACGUGACCAACUUCAUCCACCUGCUGUGGUCAAAUGUUCUACAGAUUUCCUUGUCCAUCUACUUCCUGUGGGCAGAGUUGGGACCCUCAGUCUUAGCAGGUGUUGGGGUGAUGGUGCUCCUAAUCCCAAUUAAUGGGGUAAUUGCCACCAAGAAUAGGGCUAUUCAGGUUAAAAAUAUGAAGUAUAAAGACAACCGUUUAAAGAUCAUGAAUGAGGUUCUCAGUGGGAUCAAGAUCCUGAAAUAUUUUGCCUGGGAACCUUCAUUCCAAAACCAAGUCCACGACCUUCGUAAGAAAGAGCUCAGGAACCUGCUGACGUUUGGGCAGUUGCAGUCUGUGAUGAUAUUUCUCUUAUACUUAACUCCGGUGCUGGUGUCUGUGAUCACGUUUUCCGUUUACGUCCUGGUGGAUAGCAGUAAUAUUCUGGAUGCAGAAAAGGCCUUCACCUCCAUCACCCUCUUCAAUAUCCUGCGCUUUCCCAUGAGCAUGCUUCCCAUGAUAGUCUCCACCAUGCUCCAGGCCAGUGUUUCCGUAGAACGGCUAGAGAAAUAUUUGGGAGGGGAUGACUUGGACACAUCUGCCAUUCGACAUGACUGCAAUUUUGACAAAGCUGUGCAGUUUUCUGAGGCAUCCUUUACCUGGGACCACAAUUCGGAAGUCACAAUCCAAGACGUGAACCUAGACAUUAUGCCAGGCCAACUGGUGGCUGUGGUGGGCACUGUGGGCUCUGGGAAAUCCUCCUUGAUGUCAGCCAUGCUGGGAGAAAUGGAAAAUGUCCACGGGCACAUCACGGUCAAGGGCACUGUAGCCUAUGUCCCGCAGCAGUCCUGGAUCCAGAACGGCACCAUAAAGGACAACAUCCUUUUUGGGUCAGAGUUGGAUGAAAAGAAAUACCAGCAAGUUCUGGAGGCCUGUGCCCUCUUCCCCGACUUGGAAGUGCUGCCUGGGGGAGAUCUGGCUGAGAUUGGAGAGAAGGGUAUAAAUCUCAGUGGGGGUCAGAAGCAGCGGAUCAGCCUGGCCAGAGCUACCUAUCAAAAUUCAGACAUCUAUAUUCUGGAUGACCCCCUAUCUGCUGUGGAUGCUCAUGUGGGAAAACAUAUUUUUAAUAAGGUCUUGGGUCCCAAUGGCCUGUUGAAAGGCAAGACUCGACUCUUGGUGACACACAGCAUUCACUUUCUUCCCCAAGUGGAUGAGAUUGUGGUUUUGGGGAAUGGCAUCAUCGUGGAGAAGGGAUCCUACAGCACUCUGUUGGCCAAGAAAGGAUUGUUUGCUAAGAAUCUGAAGACAUUCAUAAAACAGACGGGUCCUAAAGACGAGCCCACAGUCAAUGAGGACAGUGAAGAAGAUGACUAUGGGCUGAUGCCCAGUGUGGAGGAAAUCCCUGAAGAUGUGGCCUCCUUGUCCAUGAAAAGAGAGAACAGUCUUCAUCGAACAUUUAGUCGCAGUUCUAGGUCCAGUAGCAGGCGUCUGAAGCCCUUAAAAGACUUGAAAACUCGGAAUGUGAAUAUCCUGAAGGAGGAGGAAGAACCAGUGAAAGGGCAAAAACUAAUUAAGAAGGAAUUCAUACAAACUGGAAAGGUGAAGUUCUCCAUCUACCUGAAAUACCUACAAGCAAUAGGAUGGUGUUCGAUAUUCUUCAUUAUCUUUGGGUUUGUGCUCCAUUCCGUGUCUUUUAUUGGAUCAAACCUCUGGCUCAGUGCUUGGACCCGUGACUCUAAAACCUUCAAUAGCACCAACUAUCCAGCCUCUCAGAGGGACCUGAGAGUUGGUGUCUAUGGAGCUCUGGGAUUAGCACAAGGUAUAUCUGUGCUCAUAGCAAAUCUCUGGAGUGUCUAUGGUUCCGUCCACGCAGCAAGCAUUCUUCACAAGCAGCUGCUGAACAAUAUCCUUCGAGUACCCAUGAGUUUUUUUGACACAACACCCACUGGCCGGAUAGUGAACAGGUUUGCUGGCGAUAUCUCCACGGUGGAUGACACCCUCCCCAUGUCUUUGCGCAGCUGGAUUUUGUGCUUCCUGGGCAUCAUCAGCACCCUGGUCAUGAUCUGCCUGGCCACUCCAGUCUUCAUCAUCGUCAUCAUCCCUCUUGGCAUCAUUUAUGUGUCUGUUCAGAUAUUUUAUGUGGCUACUUCCCGCCAGCUGAGACGACUGGACUCUGUCACCAGGUCCCCAAUCUACUCUCACUUUAGUGAGACUGUGUCAGGUUUGUCUGUUAUCCGUGCUUUUGAGCACCAGGAGCGAUUUCUAAAGCACAAUGAGAUGGUGACGGACACCAACCAGAAAUGUGUCUUUUCCUGGAUUACCUCCAACAGGUGGCUUGCAAUUCGUCUGGAGCUGAUUGGGAACCUGAUCGUCUUCUUUUCAUCCUUGAUGAUGGUUAUUUAUAGAGAUACCCUAAGUGGGGACACUGUGGGCUUUGUUCUGUCCAAUGCACUCAGUUUUUUCUGUAGAUCACACAAACCCUGAACUGGCUAGUGAGGAUGACGUCAGAAAUAGAGACCAACAUUGUGGCUGUUGAGCGAAUAAAUGAGUACAUAAACGUGGAAAAUGAGGCACCAUGGGUGACUGAUAAGAGGCCUCCAGAAGGUUGGCCCAGCAAAGGGGAGAUCCAGUUUAGCAACUACCAAGUACGGUAUCGGCCUGAGCUGGAUCUGGUACUGAAGGGGAUCACUUGUGACAUUAAGA